rnacentral:rRNA from 1 species
UACGGAGGGUGCGAGCGUUAAUCGGAAUUACUGGGCGUAAAGCGCACGUAGGCGGUUUGUUAAGCUGGAUGUGAAAGCCCCGGGCUCAACCUGGGAAUUGCACUCAGAACUGGCAGACUAGAGUACGGUAGAGGUGAGUGGAAUUUCCUGUGUAGCGGUGAAAUGCGUAGAUAUAGGAAGGAACAUCAGUGGCGAAGGCGACUCACUGGACUGAUACUGACGCUGAGGUGCGAAAGCGUGGGGAGCAAACAGG